rnacentral:rRNA from 1 species
GAUGAACGCUAGCGGGAGGCUUAACACAUGCAAGUCGGGCGGCAAGGCAGCAAUGCCCUAGAGCGGCGCACGGGUGAGUAACGCGUAUGCAACCUGCCCUUUACAGGGGGAUAGCCCAGGGAAACUUGGAUUAAUACCCCAUAUGGCCACAAUUUCGCAUGGGAAUGUGGUUAAAGAUUUAUCGGUAAAGGAUGGGCAUGCGUGACAUUAGCUAGUUGGGGGGUAACGCCCACCAAGGCUACGAUGUCUAGGGGUUCUGAGAGGAUGAUCCCCCA